rnacentral:rRNA from 1 species
UACUCGAGUGGCGAACGGGUGAGUGACACGUGGGUGAUCUGCCCUGCACUUCGGGAUAAGCCUGGGAAACUGGGUCUAAUACCGGAUAGGAGCCAUUUUUAGUGUGAUGGUUGGAAAGUUUUUUCGGUGUAGGAUGAGCUCGCGGCCUAUCAGCUUGUUGGUGGGGUAAUGGCCUACCAAGGCGGCGACGGGUAGCCGGCCUGAGAGGGUGGACGGCCACAUUGGGACUGAGAUACGGCCCAG